GGGACACGUGGUAUCCUGUCUGAAUAUGGGGGGACCAUCCUCCAAGGCUAAAUACUCCUGACUGACCGAUAGUGAACCAGUACCGUGAGGGAAAGGCGAAAAGAACCCCGGCGAGGGGAGUGAAAAAGAACCUGAAACCGUGUACGUACAAGCAGUGGGAGCACGCUUAGGCGUGUGACUGCGUACCUUUUGUAUAAUGGGUCAGCGACUUAUAUUCUGUAGCAAGGUUAACCGAAUAGGGGAGCCGAAGGGAAACCGAGUCUUAACUGGGCGUUAAGUUGCAGGGUAUAGACCCGAAACCCGGUGAUCUAGCCAUGGGCAGGUUGAAGGUUGGGUAACACUAACUGGAGGACCGAACCGACUAAUGUUGAAAAAUUAGCGGAUGACUUGUGGCUGGGGGUGAAAGGCCAAUCAAACCGGGAGAUAGCUGGUUCUCCCCGAAAGCUAUUUAGGUAGCGCCUCGUGAAUUCAUCUCCGGGGGUAGAGCACUGUUUCGGCAAGGGGGUCAUCCCGACUUACCAACCCGAUGCAAACUGCGAAUACCGGAGAAUGUUAUCACGGGAGACACACGGCGGGUGCUAACGUCCGUCGUGAAGAGGGAAACAACCCAGACCGCCAGCUAAGGUCCCAAAGUCAUGGUUAAGUGGGAAACGAUGUGGGAAGGCCCAGACAGCCAGGAUGUUGGCUUAGAAGCAGCCAUCAUUUAAAGAAAGCGUAAUAGCUCACUGGUCGAGUCGGCCUGCGCGGAAGAUGUAACGGGGCUAAACCAUGCACCGAAGCUGCGGCAGCGACGCUUAUGCGUUGUUGGGUAGGGGAGCGUUCUGUAAGCCUGCGAAGGUGUGCUGUGAGGCAUGCUGGA
rnacentral:rRNA from 1 species